UACGAAGGGGGCUAGCGUUGUUCGGAAUUACUGGGCGUAAAGCGCCCGUAGGCGGCUAUUUAAGUCAGGGGUGAAAUCCCAGAGCUCAACUCUGGAACUGCCUUUGAUACUGGGUAUCUUGAGUAUGGAAGAGGUAAGUGGAAUUCCGAGUGUAGAGGUGAAAUUCGUAGAUAUUCGGAGGAACACCAGUGGCGAAGGCGGCUUACUGGUCCAUUACUGACGCUGAGGUGCGAAAGCGUGGGGAGCAAACAGG
rnacentral:rRNA from 1 species